UGGGAAUUUGGACAAUGGGGCAACCCUGAUCCAGCAAUGCCGCGUGUGUGAAGAAGGCCUUCGGGUUGUAAAGCACUUUUGUCCGGAAAGAAAACGUCGUGGUUAAUACCCGUGGCGGCUGACGGUACCGGAAGAAUAAGCACCGGCUAACUACGUGCCAGCAGCCGCGGUAAUACGUAGGGUGCAAGCGUUAAUCGGAAUUACUGGGCGUAAAGCGUGCGCAGGCGGUCCGCUAAGACAGAUGUGAAAUCCCCGGGCUUAACCUGGGAACUGCAUUUGUGACUGGCGGGCUAGAGUAUGGCAGAGGGGGGUAGAAUUCCACGUGUAGCAGUGAAAUGCGUAGAGAUGUGGAGGAAUACCGAUGGCGAAGGCAGCCCCCUGGGCCAAUACUACGCUCAUCACGAAAGCGUGGGGAGCAAACAGGAUUAGAUACCCUGGUAGUCCACGCCCUAAACGAUGUCAACUAGUUGUCGGGUCUU
rnacentral:rRNA from 1 species